AUUGAACGCUGGCGGCAUGCUUUACACAUGCAAGUCGAACGGUAACAGGUUAAGCUGACGAGUGGCGAACGGGUGAGUAAUGCAUCGGAACGUGCCCGGUCGUGGGGGAUAACGCAGCGAAAGUUGCGCUAAUACCGCAUACGAUCUGAGGAUGAAAGCGGGGGACCGGAAGGCCUCGCGCGAUCGGAGCGGCCGAUGUCAGAUUAGGUAGUUGGUGGGGUAAAGGCUCACCAAGCCAACGAUCUGUAGCUGGUCUGAGAGGACGACCAGCCACACUGGGACCGAGACACGGCCCAGACUCCUACGGGAGGCAGCAGUGGGGAAUUUUGGACAAUGGGCGAAAGCCUGAUCCAGCAAUGCCGCGUGCAGGAAGAAGGCCUUCGGGUUGUAAACUGCUUUUGUACGGAGCGAAAAGGUCUCCUCUAAUACAGGGGGCUCAUGACGGUACCGUAAGAAUAAGCACCGGCUAACUACGUGCCAGCCGCCGCGGUAA
rnacentral:rRNA from 1 species